rnacentral:lncRNA from 10 species
CUUUUUCUUCCUCUGCACUUCUUGGUCCCUGGGUAAUUCUGCUUACGAGAUGGUUCGACUUCGCUUCAACUUUGGAAUGGCUAUUCUAAGCUUUACUGUGUGACUAGAAAGCAUAGAGAUUUAAGAAAUGUGUUUUAACAUGGGAAUGGUUAAAAUUGAAGAAAUAGUACUUAAAAUUUAAUGUGGGGAAAAAUUAUUUUAGUUUUGGAAAGAUCCUCUUCAGAAAUACCACUAUCUUCCUGAAGUUUGAUGGAGAACCUUGUGACCUGUCUUUGAAUAUAACCUGGUAUCUGAAAAGCGCUGAUUGUUACAAUGAAAUCUAUAACUUCAAGGCAGAAGAAGUAGAGUUGUAUUUGGAAAAACUUAAGGAAAAAAGAGGCUUGUCUGGGAAAUAUCAAACAUCAUCAAAAUUGUUCCAGAACUGCAGUGAACUCUUUAAAACACAGACCUUUUCUGGAGAUUUUAUGCAUCGACUGCCUCUUUUAGGAGAAAAACAGGAGGCUAAGGAGAAUGGAACAAACCUUACCUUUAUUGGAGACAAAACCGCAAUGCAUGAACCAUUGCAAACUUGGCAAGAUGCA